CGAUCAGCUGAUUUCCUGAACACGUCAGUCCUGGGAUCUGAGGGCAAGGUUACAGGAGCUCGGAGAUGGAAGUCAGAGGGUUGCGGAGGGAAUUCAGUUGCGGAGUCGUGACGCUCCAUCACUGUGAGACUGACGGACUCACUCGGCCACAAUGCAGCUCAGUCACUGUGGUGUCUCUACCUGCAGUUAAUUUGAUCUUUCACCUAAUAACAAGAGCCGAAGCACUUCACAGAAAUGAAUAUAGUGGCAAAUGAAAUUUUAUUUAGUUAAUACAUUCGAAGCUGUACCAAU